UGAACACGCUGAUAUUGUGAUAAAUUUCGAUGUUCCAGAAGAUUCGCAAACGUAUGUGAACCGUUUGGCUCAUUAUCGCGCUGCUAGUGCAAUCACAUUGUUUUCGAUUGAGGAAGCUGGAAUUUGGAACAAUAUUCAAAAGGAUCUGGAGAUUAGGUCGGAUUCGCCAAUACAUUCACAAAAUGGAUUUAUAAAGAAAUGUCGUUUAGGCGCGUUUCUAUCCCACAGGAAAAAUAAAGUAAAUAAAUUAGAGCUACCUAUCUCCAAUUUCAUUUAAAUCAGCCAAACCAGUGAAACGGAAUUUACAUAUUAAAUUAUCGUUAUGAAUUCCCGUACUAAUCCAUAUGUCAU